UCCCAGGUGGUCGCACAAGCCCGUCGUCCUCAAGAAGCACAAGAGUGCUUUCACCGCUUUAUGGGUCGACGGGCGAUGGUGGCGGUCUUCCAGCAGCACCUGCACGGAAUGCGGCCGAUUGUCGAGUUUUUGUAGCGCAUUACCAAGUUUUUGUCUUUCUGAGGCAUAUCGUGGACAGUGGCACAG
rnacentral:lncRNA from 1 species